CUCGUUUUUGUUGCAGCGUACUUGUUAAAGCCCCCUGCAAUAACCCGGGUAAAAAAAAUUUCGCUGCAAUAUUCGUUGAAACUAAUUCAAAACAAAUUAAGCAUCUCUCACUCUCAACUCCCUUCUUCUCCCUUAACUUUCCCUGCGUCAUCCCCUCAAAAAAAAACCCUUUCUCUUCGUCGGUGGUUCUAGCCUCCUCGCCAGAGGCCACCUAUUAGCUUGCUCGGCCGUUUUGAUUCUGCCUAUCAUUCUGCCUUUUGAUUUCGAUUCCAAUUUCACAACUAGGUUUUGGUAUUGUAGAUGUCGAGUUGCAAUUUCUAAUCAAUUGGAAUUGCGGAACUUGAUUUUGGUGGAUUCAUACAUUUAAUUUUUUUUGUUUGUUUGAGUCCUAUUCUUGAUGUGCGGAAAAGGAAGGCGGUUCGAUUGAGCAAAGAUGUCGACUCCAAACGUCGCCAAAUUAACAAUGGAUGUGGGAUUGGAUAAUGAAACAUGAGCCGGUGGUUUCAAGAAAGAAAGUUGCUCGCGUCCUAUUUUCCGUCAACCUCUUCGCCGCGGCUACCUGUCCCCUCUUUUAGGCUGUCGUUCAUAGAGCUAAGAACUCAAAAUAUUCAGCUGAUGAGGAUAUGGAGGAGACAGAUGUUAAAGAUCCAAAUUUAAAGCAAUCUCUGGAGUCUGCUACUUCUCAGAUUAGCCAGCUAGCUCUUUCUAAUAGUCCUACUGGUAAAUCUUCACUGAAUUCUAUUGUGGGAUCAGAUACGGCCAAUGCAGGUGUAGAUAUUGACUUUUUGACUUUUUAUGUCUGUACAUUGAUGAUUUGGUUUCUUAGCAAGAGAGUAAUAUUAUUACCUCCAAAAUUUGGAGAUCUGAAGUUUGGGGUCUAUUUAAAAUCUGGUGAGUGUCAGAGAAAUGUUUAUGGUUAUUUUCUGUUUUUGAUUCUUUAUCCAACACAUUGAUUUUAAUAACCUUCUACUUAAUAAUCACCAUUACAAACUUCUUAAAUUAGUCUGCUUAAGUGGCCAUUGUUUGUACCUACUUAAAGUGUUACUCGUACAUGUUUGGAUUGCCGUCUGUUUCCUUAUG